UGCUGAAUUUUUUCCCCAUGCCAUCGUAUCGGAAUCUCACUCUUCAGUGUUUGACAGAGGUUGCAGCACUUAAUUUUGGAGAUUUCUACAAUGCCCAGUACGUUAAGAUGUACACCAUAUUCAUGAAACUGUUGCAGACCAUGAUUCCUCUUAAUACAAACAUUCCCGAGGCUUAUGCAAUUGGUUCCAGUGAAGAGUAGGUAAAGUUGUUUUUGGCGCUUCAAAAUUUAAUGAAGACCAUUUUUUAUGUGUUCGCUCAAUAAUUGUUUAUUUCUGGCAAUGUCUUUUUUUUUUAACUUACCUAUUCUGCAGGCUUUUAUUAAGAAUUUGGCUUUGUUUUUCACUUCAUUUUAU